UUUCCGUAGGUGAACCUGCGGAAGGAUCAUUAACACGUAUCCAAACGUACCAACCCAAUUUGCGAACAACAACCCGCGCCCUGUCUGUGUUGUCGAAAGACGCAGCUUGUACUUGGGAACGAGUGCAUUGCUGAGAAAGUUUUCUUUCUGCACGACUUGUGCUGCCUUUUUUCCAAACAACCUUUACCGGUCUGACGGAAACUCAUUGUGUUGCACGUGUGCUUGCACACGCGCUUCACAACAAGAUAUAUGGAACGCUGAACAACUUUUAGCAACGGAUAUCUUGGUUCUC
rnacentral:misc_RNA from 1 species